GAUGAAAGGGGUCAGAUCAUUUCAAAGGCAACGACAGUAACCCUCCGAGGGAUAGAUGGAGACUUUGCAGCAACAUUUCCUAGGCAGUGAAAUUCAGAGUCAGUUUAGGGGUUCUUAUCCGGGCGAAACGUCUGAGGAAUUUCAAGGCAUGCCAAACGAGUUUGAAUAAGGUGAACUGAAGGUUUUGUAGAUGCCUAAACAGAAGGAAAAGCAUGAGGUAGUAAGAGGUCAAGAGACCCAAUAUAUUUUGCCUCUUAAGCUAGAGCACCCUGAUCCGUGCCCCCAGACUCUGAGUCAAGGUGAAGCAUACCUGAGAUCAGUCAAAUUAUUUUUGGCAUCUGAAAAUCCUACAAGUGUCUCUCUCCCUACCUGGUAGUAAGAAAACCACAAUAAUAAAUGAAAUAGCUAAGAAUUUCUUUCCCUUUUCAUGACACCUAAAAUCUGCUGCCUGAGGGGGCUGCCUCACUCUGCCUUAUGGUUGGGCUGGCCCUUUUGAACAGAAAGGGAGAAUUCUUUCAAAAACAACUUCUGUGUGGUCUGUAACUGAGUCCAAAUGGACUGUCAAAGGGAAACCUCUCAUGGACAAAUCUAAUGUGGAAAAUGUUGCUUGAUCAUACUUAAGAUGGUCCAAUUUUCUUUCCUCGUGUUCUUGAUUCUUUGCGAUGCCUUCAAGUCAUGUUAUAAGCCUGGCCUCAGGCCACCUUUUGUCCAUUGGGUUACUGAAUCAUUGAAAAAUUUGGGAAAUUAUUGAUAUGUACUUAAAAUGGUAGUUUUGGAAUCAUGGACAGUAAACUCAAUGCACAUACACCUUUUAAAAUUGGGAAUGAUUCAGUUACUGCAGCCCAACGACUUGAAGGGUUAAGGAUGCAGUUGGAAGCCAUCAGAGAGAGACUGCAUUCACAAAACAUUUUGUUCCUGGCGUUUCCCUAAAGUUUUGUCUCUGUUUUACAGUUGAGCUUUCACACAGCGCAAAAAAAAAAUCCAUUCUGAAAAACUAAUGGAAUAUAGCACAUGUUGAGGGCUCAUUUUGUGGCCACUUGAUUCCAGAAAAAAAAUCUGCUUGCAGUCUCUUUAAGCCGCAAAAUCGCAGAAGUAAAGUGAUGAGAUUCGGAGUAGUGUACCUGCAACAGAGUUCUUUCCUGACUGUUCCAUGUGUGAAUCAUGGGGAAACAGAAGCACACAUGUGCAAAAAGGGUGGGGGAGUGGCAAUGUGGUCCAAUGAUUGUCUGUGUGCCAUAUCGCGCUCAUUGGUGUGAAUGAAAUUUCACGCGACACGCCAGAAUGUCAAAGAGAAGAAGAAGAGUUUGGAUUUGAUAUCCCGCUUUACCACUACCCGAAGGAGUCUCAAAGUGGCUAACGUUCUCCUUUCUCUUCCUCCCCCACAACAAACACUCUGUGAGGUGAGUGGGGCUGAGAGACUUCAGAGAAGUGUGACUAGCCCAAGGUCACCCAGCAGCUGCAUGUGGAGGAGCAAGGAAGCGAACCUGGUUCCCCAGAUUACGAAUCUACUGCUCUUAACCACUACACCACACUGGCUCCCCCCAUUCAUUCAAAAAGCUACAGUUCCAUAAUGCAGCAGGUACUUGCGCUGUGAGAACAGCAUUAGAAAACAGGACAAAAGUGUUAACACAAUAUUCCCCGUAUCUGGAUGCACCCUGACUCAGACCAUUUGUUCCUCUAGCACAUUAUUUUUUUAUUUCAGGCACAUCCAGUUGGGUCUUAGAUUGUGGGGUUUUUUCUGCAACAAGUUCUGAACACAAUAAUAGCACAUGAGUGGUGGAUUUGUUUUGUUUUAUAUUGGAGAAGUGUUGCAGAUAAAUUCUGCCAUUUUAAUUGCUGUUGGGGGGCCCGCAUUUCAUGUAAAAAAAGCUAGGGCAAAAAAUAAUCUGGGGCAGUUGUGGAUAAAAGUUAUGGGAUGUGUACUGAUUGGAAGUGGAGCAGUGUGACUGCCGCAAAACUUUUCCAGGCGCAGAGCAGGAUUGCGUGUGAUGGCUCUGAUAGCACCCAGAGCACAAAUCAUCAUGGAUGUGCAAUAAAAAAGAUGUCUGGAGAGAGCCCUCUGACUGGCAGCAGUUGCAGGGAAAGAUCUUUUUGACGUUCUGCACACAAAGGGCAUGCCCUACCAAUGAGCUACUAAGUACCGACUCUUGGAAAUUUUGGAGAAGUUAGCCUGUGAAAAAUAUAUUUGUGGUACAGUUUUUCAUAUGGUUUAGUCCUCCCAAACUCUAAAUGUGGAACUGGCAUGUUUGAACACACCAUAAUGUUGAAAAUUGUCUCCUUAGUGUGGAUCCAUUCCCUCAAUAUAUUGGCUUUCCAUAUGGAAAUAACUUUUGACUGCCAUCGGUAUGCAGGCAAAAAAAGCAAAUUUUCUGCAAUUGUAUCGGAGAAUUUCAUUUCAUGAGUGUGAAUGGUUGUUUUGCAAAUCCUGCAAGCACUCAUUUUAAGAUGAGUCAGAACCUCUAAACUUAGUCAAGUUUUAAUUCUGCAUAUUGAGGAUGGACAUUUGGUAUCAUUGAGAUCUUAAGUGAGAAAAAUUAUGUGGUUUACUUUUGUGUUUGAAUUGAAUUUUGUGUCUGACUGAAUUUAGGGUGUUGUUUUUUCUCUACAGGUUGGACAAAAAAGUAAGUCAAGUUAAGGCUUGAGGCAUUUUUAGAUUUCAGCGCAUGCAGGCUUAAAUCUUUGUAGGGCAAAAAUAUCAUUGGAUCACAGAGCUGGAAGGUUCUGAUGACCAAAAAAUGCCAACCAGUUCAGAUCCUUUCUUAAGGCACAAUUCUUUGAGCUACACAAGUAUUCUGUGCAAAUCUGUGCACAUAAUCGGCACCGCAGUGUACUACUGGCAGAGGCUAGGCAAACACACACAUACACACAUUGUGCUAAUAUUCCUACAGAUCAAAUAGCUCCAGGUGGCCGAGCCAAGAAUGCAAGUCACACUAUCAAACUGAGAAUCCCUCCUUUUAUUUCACAGAACAUAAGUUUAGAUGGGAACUUUUUGUGGUUUAGCCCUUUGGGUGAUAUCCAGUGAUAGUCAUACUCAUACCCUUUGAAAAUUCUACUCUGAGUAUGACUAACAUAUCCUAUGGUGCUGAAUAAGAAGCGCACAAAAAAGAAAGUGCAUUAUUGCAUGCGUGAAUAAAGCAUUUAUAAAAGGUGUUGUGGGGCGUUACAGUAUUGUGGGGUUUUUUGUUUUUAUUUUGAUUAAGUAUUCUGUGUUUUUAACCUGUGAUUUUAUCUUGUGAACCAGCCUGAGACCUGCAGGUAUAGGGUGGCAUACAAAUUUGAUAAAUAAUAAUCAGACACCAUCUUGUGUCAGGAACUGAACUCAGGACAUUGGGUGGCAGGCAUAGGUAGGGCGUGGUGAAUGAAUGUGCCCAGUUCCUGAGGAGGAAGAAGAGGAGUUUGGAUUUGAUAUCCUGCUUUAUCACUACCCUAAGGAGUCUCAAAGCGGCUCACAAUCUCUUUUCCCUUCCUCCCCCACAACAAGCACUCUGUGAGGUGAGUGAGGCUGAGAGACUUCAGGGAAGUAUGACUAGCCCAAGGUCACCCAGCAGCUGCAUGUGGAGGAGCAGAGACACGAACCCAGUUCACCAGAUUACGAGUCCACCGCUCUUAACCACUACACCACACAGAUGUAUGUGUGCUCAGAGUUAAAACCAAGGCUAUGAGCAAGGCAGGGUGUGAAUACUUAUUUGCCCCACAGAAUGAGAUAUGGCAGGCAGGGUAAGGAGUCUUUUCCAUGGUGGUCCCCUAAUUUUAGAAUGCCUUCCUUAGAGAAGCUCACCUCUCAAGAAGGUCUGAAACUUCUUGCUGCCUGGCAAAGACCUUUUUAUUUCCACAGAUGCUUCAGGAUCAUUUUAAGAUACUCAACGUGUUACGGUCUGCUGUGGUGGUGUAUGCUUCUGCGGCUGUUGGUUUUAUUUAGUUAGUUUUGCACUUUGGUUGCUUUGCUUUAUUUAAUUUCUUGUCCGCUUUUAGAGUGUUUAAACUUUUAUUACAAGUUGCGAAUUUGGAUGAUAUGCAAAUGGCACAAAUAAAAUAAAUUUUAAAAAAGUAUAUAACAUUGUGGAGGCACCUGUCCGUCUAACCUUGAUGUUUAUGUCUCACCAAGAGGGGUAUAAAAGUUAAGGUACUUCCAUGGUAGAUAGGAAGUUAAAAUUAGUUUCUUGUGUAAUUUAAUGUUUAGCAGAGAAGUCUGGAAAUAGGACAUUUUUACCUAUUCAGCCAUGCACAGAGCAAAUGUAAGAUGGAAUGAAAAGUUGUGUUUGUGAAUGCUAUUGGUCAGGCCUCACAAAUUCGUGAGAGUAUUAGUAUUUUUAAGAUACUGUCGUAAGAGCUAUAUGACUGAAAUUUGGCAAAGGGUGUGCUUGUAUUUCAAUAUUUGCCCAUGUAUCAUUAUUAGUACAUUUUUAAAAGUUCCUAUCUGUUUCUGAGUUGCUCUGUGCUCGUUCUACUUUGAUCUUUAAUUUGGCUCCUGAGCUCCUGUGUGCUAGAUGAAGCUCUGUCUUCCCUAUAAUGGGGAAUCUAAAUGUGGCUAUAACUUUUUCGCUUUUUGGCCAAAGUGGAUAAAAUUUGUAAGCACGGGAGCCCCUCUAGAGUCGAUUAAGGAGACAAAUAGCUCCAGGGUUUGGUUUCUUUUGCGAGGGAAAUAAUAAUAAUAGAAGAUUCACUUUCCUUCAUAAUUUCUUAUGGGGAGUAACAGGGAAUUGUCUCUUGCUCUUUCUUAUAAUAAAAUAAUUAAGUGUUGGCGUAGUGGUGUGUAUUCUUGCGUGCACAUCUUUCUAAUGCUCUGCAGUUUCACACAGGGUUUUGGUGCCCUCUGGCAGACCUUACAGAUUUACUCUGUGUCGUCUGAUAGGCCGCAAUAGGUCUUCAAUAGCCCUUACGAUGUAAUACUGUCUAGGACACUGCCUGUGGAAUUCUGAACAGCCAUGUGUUCCCCACCCGAUUGAAGCUGAGCAGUGUAGGAUUUCUUUAAAAAGCUAAAAAUCUUAAAUGAUGCUUUUAACAUUCUAAAAAUAAAAGAAAAUCCACUACCCUGCUAGAAAGAAAGAAAGAAAGAAAGAAAGAAAGAAAGGGAGCAUUUCAGUGCUCUGCAGGCAACAUUUUGGACAGUCUCACUUUUUGCAAACCCCAUAACCCUCAGGAAACAUAGAGAUAUAUAUUUAAAAUGCAGCUAUUCUUUUUAGAAAGCUAGAGUGAGGGAUUAGGGUUAGGGGCCCUGAUUAGACUUAGGGUGGUUUAUUGACAUCGUGCUUUGAUUAAGGGAAGAAGAAGAGAUCUUGCCUCAUUAUUUGGCCUGCACACAGAGCUUAUAUGCAUUUCUGUUACAGUGGUACCUCGGGCUACAUAUGCUUCAGGUUACAUAUGCUUCAGGUUACAGACUCCGCUAACCCAGAAAUAGUACCUCGGGUUAAGAACUUUGCUUCAGGAUGAGAACAGAAAUUGCGGUGUGGUGGCAGCGGAAGGCCCCAUUAGCUAAAGUGGUACCUCAGGUUAAGAACAGUUUCAGGUUAAGAACGGACCUCCGGAACAAAUUAAGUUCUUAACCAGAGGUACCACUGUAUUUAUAUCUCUUACCCUAAGUUUAGGACAUUAAUUCCAACUCAUAAUAGUGUCCUGUGUUCAAACUGCAAAUGCAGUGGACGUGCUUUCUUCUCCUCUACCACAUCCUUUGGCUGGGUGAAGAGGUUCUUGGUGUCAUUCAAGAAUGUUAACUCUGGAAAUGGGACAUUACACAUGCAGCAGAAUAGGAGGGGGCUGGCAUUCCCCGUUUCACAUAUUUUAAUGCAGGGAUGGCACCCUGUAGUCUGCAGGUAUUAAUGGACUCCAACUCCUACCAGCCCCAGUCAAUAUGGCCAGUGGUCAAGGGCAAUGCGAGUUGUCAUCAAAGCAACAUCUGGAAGGUUGUAGAUCCUUGCUGCUGUUUUAAUGGUUUAUUAUAAGUGACAGGAAGGAACACGCCUAUGUUGGCACGUCUGUGAAUUUUGCAAUGCAGUUCUCCAGCCAAAGAAUUUGUACAAAAAAUGCAUAUACCAGGGUCAAGUGUGCAAAAAAUGUUAGUGAAAAUACUAUACAGAAUUGCUCUGCCCCCCCCCCAGCAGUUUAUAAUAACUGACAGUGAGGAACCUAUAUAUUCUGGCAAGUUUUGCGCAUAUAUGCUAUAGUGAAUGUUCAAAAUGGCAUUAUUCACAAAGGAAUGUUAGUGAUCUCUGGUGAAUGUUCGAUGUGCCCCAAAUUAUAUACUUCCGAAACCUUUCUGGCAUACCUGUUACAGUUAUGUAAAGGUGACUAUCAGUAUUUACUGGUUCAUAUCUGCAUUUUCAGACAUUUGUGAAGCCCUUCAAGAAUGAUUGACUGCAUUUUGAACAAUCACUGGCCCAGUUUGAAUUUCACAGUAAACCAUAGCUAAAACUCUGUUGCUUAGUCAGACUUAUUUGGACUUUGGAGAGUGCUGAGGGCAAACCUUGUGGUACAUCUAGAAAGAAACAAUCAUGAGCCUAGGUCUCGAUGUCAUAACAAGCCAGACUCUGGCUGGCUUCCUUGAAGCAUGGUGGCAACAGUGGGAGUAGGAAACAGCACAGUGAGGAUUUUUCAGCAGUGUGCCCCAGCAUACUCCACGUUCACAGUAAACCAUGGUUUGUUUCUAACUAUGAUUUAAUGUGAUGCGCAAACCAGGCCCCUGUAACUUUAUGUACUGAAACCACUGCAUUCCAACUAAAGUUGUUAGCAGAUUUUAUUCACCCUGUAAAUACCUUGUUUUUUAGGGUCUAGCGGGACACAAUGGUGGCACAGAUUUGACAGUGACCUUAGGUCAUCAAGUUUUAAAACUAGGGUCAUUCUGCUGUUGUUUCUACUUAGAUAGACCUAUAUGUGAUAUUUAAAGUUAUUUUGAUCCUGUCUUACACUGCCAGCGUGCAUGUGUGGAAGAUAGAAACACAGUUUUAAAGCAGCUUGUACCCAGCUUUUGAAUCUACGGGCAGCUGAACAGGAAGGUGGAUUUGCAAUCGCAGUUUAGCAUCCUUUCCACCCAAAGUGAAUUUUCAGCCCUUUGCCCACCCAUUCCCCUCCUUUUACAACUAUUAUUAUUAUUUAUUAUACUUGAUAAUUGUGCCACUGUUUUUCUUCCCCUGUCCUUCUCUAGCAGCAGCUCUUGUUUGCUGCAGCAAUUCUGGCUUGCUCUUGAAGAGCAGGAAAAAUCCACAGGAAGUUCAGUGUAGGGAAAAGGGAGCAUAGGAGGGAUAGCAGAAGCCGCAAUUGUCCUCUGGGGCAAGUCUUGCCUUCCUGAGGAUAUUCAGGAAGGAAAUGGGAAGAGAAAACUGUGUGUGUGUGUGAAUGUAUAACUGUGUAUGUAGGUAUUCUCUCUGUCCAUCUGUCUGCCUGCUUAGCUGGAAGCCUACUUCUGACCCGUCCUCAGUCCCUCUCCCACACACUUUUUACUCUAUGUUCCCGUCCUCAAGAUCUAGUGGCUGGUGAUGAUGAUUGUUUAAAAGGCCCUAUGGAUGCACCAGCACAUAGAGCACAUAUCUGUUUUUAAGAAGAGCAGCCAGCAAGGCCUCCCUGACAAGGAUGCUUGCCUUGUAUACAAGAUAGCUGUGCUGCUCAGAGGCAGAGAGAUGGUUGGCGGGCAGGUGAUGCAGACAGGCAAGAUUAUGCAUCGUAUUACUGAGCUCGUAUCUAAGACUCGUCUCAAGUUCUCGUUGGAGGGAGGACGUGGUGAUGUUUUGGGCCGGGAAGAGCUGAACUUGUGAGUUGAAGUUAGGAAGAUUCUCAAAGCACUCGAAAAGCUACUUGAAUGAGUUGCUCGCCCACCCUUUAUUUCCAGCAAAAGUCUUGCUUUGCUAGUUGCCUCCCCCCGAAAAAGGAAGUAUCAGGUGUGUGCAUACAUACCAUUCAAGGCCUAAGAAUAAUGUUGCUUCCUACGAAGCCUUGCAGAGAACAACUUUUAAUAUCCUUUCCCUUGCAUACUAGGUAAUUGAAGGAACAAGCACCAAUUUGCUGGAACAAUUGUAAACACACCUUGAUACAAAUGGCAUCAUCGCCUUCUUCCUGAUUAGAAAACUUUGCUAUUAAUAGACACCAAGCCCAUUUCAGGUGUAAUUGGGAAGAAGCUGAGUGCACUCAUGGGAAGAAACCUUGUUUUGUUUUGUGUGGUUUUUUUUUUCCUGUUCGCUUUUUAUUCUUAUCCCUCUUUUUUCAGUUUUAUAGCUGGAGACAUGAUUUAUUGCAGCCAUCCAUCUUUGGGGCUCAUCCAUCACAUCCUGGUUGCUAGGCAAUCAUGGCAGCAGCUGUUUGCUUUGAAUCAGACAGAAAAGUUGUCAAUCAUCAAAGGCAGGUGAAUAGCAUUAGAAACACGCUAUUGUCAGACGGAAUAAUUAAUCAAAGAGAGAAAAGAUAAUUAAAAAGAUAUGACCCUUGCAAGUACUUGCUCUGGGUUGCCUAGAAAAAAAGAAACACAGACAGAAAGAAAUAAAAGAAUGAGAAAAACUGCCUGGUCUUUUCUCGACACUUAAGCAGCUGAGGGCUGAUAAAAUAUGCACUCUGCAGCGCAUAGUUUUUAAUUAAUUGAAAAAGGUUCAACAUUCAAAGACGAUGCUGGAGAAAAGUCUGAUUAUGAGCAGAAGUAAUAUUUAUUGUUUGCCUGAAAGGCUUGACAUGGACUUCUAACUUUCUGUCACCCAUCUCCCCUCCGCUUGCACUCAGCUGCUUUCAACUCUACUAUCUCCACCCGCAGCAAGUGGAACAUGCGGGUGAGUCAGACCAAGAAGGGGGUCUCCUGAAGCUUUCAUGAAACUCCAGAGUUCUGCCUCAGCUUUUCAAUGUGGUCCCCCCCCCCACCUUCUCCUGCUAGCAGCUAUCUGGGUUAUGUUAGCUCUUGCUAUCGGAAAGGUAAGGAGAGAGAGAAAAAGAGAGAGUUUUGCGUAAGCUGAAACUCUGCUGAAGUCUCACUUGUGAACUCAGCGCAAGCAGCCUUCAUUUUAUAUAUUUACUUUAUAAAAUCCACACACCACUUGAUUGUAAAAGAAAACCAACCAGCAAACUCAAAAGGAGGUUUAC